rnacentral:tRNA from 1 species
GGGCUCGUAGCUCAGCUUGGAUAGAGCAACAGCCUUCUAAGCUGAAGGUCGCGGGUUCAAAUCCCGCCGGGCCCG